UUAAACUCUCUACAUGUAUAUUUAACAUUUACAUUUGUAUUUUUGACUUCUGUAGAGUGUUUUUACCCAGAUAUCUAACAAAUUUUUAGAGCAUAUCAUGUUUACUUAUAUAUAAAUUAGUUGAGAGACAUCAUUGUGGGGAAAGGGGGAUGUAUGUAUGGGGUAGAAAUUUUAAUCUUUUGUAUGAGACAAGGAUAAUUUCUUCCCAUUCAUUGUGUAGAUACAUAUUUGGGACCUUCAUGCAACCAACUAUUCUAGUGUUGUUAAAUAAUAAAUUUAGUUUUUUUGUAACUUCCAAUAUUUGGAAUUGCAAAGUUUUACUCUCAGGAAUAAUGACUAGUUCUGAGUUAAAUUUAUUUUCCUUAUUUCCUCCAAUCAGGUGAUAUAUAAAGAUCCCAAGUUAGCAUCAAUGGAGGUGUUUCAGACUCAGAUGUCCCCACUAAAGAAUACUUUGUCAAUUAACAUAAAUGAGUGUUGCCCAGCAACAAAAAUUUUGUAAGAACUUAAAUACCAGGUGACACUUUAUUUUCUAAAGUCCUAAUCUAUGUAAAAACCUGGUUAAAUGUUUGGACAUAUAUAAACAUUAAAGUAAAGCAGGUGCUAUGAUAGAAGAAUGUAUGAAAUUUCAGGGAAGAAUAAUAGAAAGGACUCAGUCUGGAAAUUUAUUCAACAGGAAGAAGAGGAAAGAAGAAAAGAGUGUUCUACAACAAAGAAAAAGUGGGGAGGGGGAAGAAUAGGGGAAAGAGGAAGGCUUGAUCUGGGAAGGCUGGAGAAAGAAGACUGAAGGAUAGACUGGAUGACAUUGAUGCUAUUGCUCAUGGCAAAAUCUGAUGCAAUACUGCUGGAGUGCAGAGUGCGUGUGGAGGCAGGGAGUCGGCUGCGGAGAAACCAAGCCUGGAGAGAUGCCUGCUUCCCUUUCACUUCUCUGCUAUGUUAUGACACAGCAAGAGGCCCUCAUCAGAAGCUAACUAGAUUUGGCCGCCAGUCUUGGACUUCCCAACCUCCUGAACUGUGAGUCAAAGAAAACUUUUAUCUUUCCUUGACAAAUUACCCAAUCUCGAAUAUAUUCUAUU